CCUAUGCUUUUUUCAGCGGUCCCCUCUUUGGGGCCCCUGCUUCAGUGCAGUAAAGGGGUUUCGGCUUCCUUUAAGGCAUUGACGCCCGGCCACGACUCCCUUGCGGAGCUGUGCUCGGGGCCCCGACGAGCUUCGGUUCGCCGGAGGGGUGGCCCACCACCUCGAUCCCGUCCCUCGAGGAACGACUCGAUGA
rnacentral:ncRNA from 1 species